AUUGAACGCUGGCGGCAGGCCUAACACAUGCAAGUCGAGCGAGCGGCGGACGGGGGAGUAAUGUAUGGGGACUGCACGUUAGAGGGGGAUAACUACUGGAAACGGUGGCUAAUACCGCAUAUUGUCGGAUAAUCCAUAUGGGAUUAGAUAGUAGGUGAGGUAAUGGCUUACCUAGGCGACGAUACCUAGCUGGUCUGAGAGGAUGAUCAGCCACACUGGGACUGAGACACGGCCCAGACUCCUACGGAGGCAGCAGUGGGGAAUAUUGCACAAUGGGCGCAAGCCUGAUGCAGCCAUGCCGCGUGUAUGAAGAAGGCCCUAGGGUUGUAAAGUACUUUCAGUCGGGAGGCGUUACCGACAGAAGAAGCACCGGCUAACUCCGUGCCAGCAGCCGCGGUAAUAC
rnacentral:rRNA from 1 species